rnacentral:tRNA from 1 species
CGUCGUCUGGGCGACACGCCGGCCGCCGGUCUGGCGGACCGACGACUUCACGCCUGAGGCGGGGGCGGCCGCGGUCGCCCUCGUGGAGCAGCGG